GACGAACGCUGGCGGCGUGCCUAAUACAUGCAAGUAGAACGCUGAAGAGAGGAGCUUGCUCUUCUUGGAUGAGUUGCGAACGGGUGAGUAACGCGUAGGUAACCUGCCUUGUAGCGGGGGAUAACUAUUGGAAACGAUAGCUAAUACCGCAUAACAAUGGAUGACACAUGUCAUUUAUUUGAAAGGGGCAAUUGCUCCACUACAAGAUGGACCUGCGUUGUAUUAGCUAGUAGGUGAGGUAAUGGCUCACCUAGGCGACGAUACAUAGCCGACCUGAGAGGGUGAUGGGCGACACUGGGAGUGAGACACGGCCCAGACUCCUACGGGAGGCAGCAGUAGGGAAUCUUCGGCAAUGGGGGCAACCCUGACCGAGCAACGCCGCGUGAGUGAAGAAGGUUUGCGGAUCGUAAAGCUCUGUUGUAAGUCAAGAACGGGUGUGAGAGUGGAAAGGUCACACUGUGACGGUAUCGUACCAGAAAGGGACGGCUAACUACGU
rnacentral:rRNA from 1 species